GGAGAAUGCUGGCUAAAAUAUGCAGCCAUUGGCACUCUUCAUCCCAACAGUCUACAUCCGUUUUCCCCACUCACUCCGUGGAUUCAUCCUGCUUCCUCCACUUUGGUUUGGUCAGUGCUCCCGUCUCCCUGCGCAGUGUCGGUGAUGUGUAGACGGCCUGUGAGUUCAAAAGCCAUAAA